rnacentral:rRNA from 1 species
AACGUAGGAGACAAACGUUAUCCGGAGUUACUGGGCGUAAAGGGCGUGUAGGUGGUUUCGUAAGUCUGGCGUGAAAUUUUUCGGCUUAACCGGGAAAGGUCGUCGGAUACUGCGGAGCUAGAGGACGGUAGAGGCGUGUGGAAUUCCGGGUGUAGUGGUGAAAUGCGUAGAGAUCCGGAGGAACACCAGUGGCGAAGGCGGCACUCUGGGACGGUACUGACGCUGAGACGCGAAAGCGUGGGGAGCGAACAGG